GGGUACUUCCUGUUGUAACCAAGCGCGAAUUAGCUUAUCGGCAAUAUAAAGACGGAGAAGGAUAAGGACGCGGAGAGAAAUCACCACAUAAAUAUGUAUUUUGCACCUAGCAGCCGCUUUGAAAGAGGCACAAGCUCUUACGGUGAAAUUUGAGGGUUUAAUGCCAAUAAACCUGAAAAAUCAUCGGUGUCAUCCUUCAAUCAAGGGGGUAUGCUACAUUGCUGAGGGCCAGUGGUGGUGGUGCUGGUGGUGGUAUAAACCUCUUUGCGUGUGCUGUGCUCCUCUGGGAAUUGGUUUACGUAACCAACAAUCAUGCACAGAUGACUGACCAACAAGUGUGUGUCACUUCCUCUACAGGUGUCACCUCGUCUGGACAACAACCUCCCGACUCAUCACUGUCCAGCCAUGCCUGGUGUUUUUUGCACUUUCUCAAUAUAUCAGCUACAAGACGAG
ensembl:lncRNA